AGAACGAACGCUGGCGGCGUGGAUAAGACAUGCAAGUCGAACGCGACUUAUAGCGAUAGCAAUAUCAUUGUAAGUUGAGUGGCGAAAGGGUGCGUAACACGUGGGAAAUUACCAAGAAGUGGGGGAUAGCUCGGCGAAAGCCGAAUUAAUACCGCAUGUGAUCGAAAGAUCAAAGCCGGGGACCGCAAGGCCUGGCGCUUUUUGAGAUGCCCGCGGCCCAUCAGCUAGUUGGCGAGGUAAAAGCUCACCAAGGCUAUGACGGGUAGCUGGUCUGAGAGGACGACCAGCCACACUGGAACUGAGACACGGUCCAGACACCUACGGGUGGCAGCAGUCGAGAAUUUUUCACAAUGGGGG
rnacentral:rRNA from 1 species